UUUCCAUCGCACUUCAUAAAACUGGUCGGAAUUUCUACGGUGGUGCCGGUAGAGGAGAGAGUUGAAGGCGUAACACCGUUUGCCGGAGUCGGAGAAAAAUGGGCGCCGGAGAGGAGCACCAACCGGAGCCAUCGCUCGAGAAUGUAAGCGCAGCAUCUUCCAUAUCGGCAAUUGCAGAGGACCUGCAGCGCACGGUUGUUCAAUCGAAGGAUUCGGCAAUUCGCUCUGCUCGUUCACUCCAAGAGGCCUCUUCCUCCCAUAUCCGUUCCUUCCAGGAUUUUG
rnacentral:misc_RNA from 1 species